rnacentral:other from 1 species
UUACCCCUGCAAUGUGCGUGAUUGUAUGACAGUCUUUGUCCUAACGCAUAAUUAAAAGGGAGUCCACACUUUUACUGGUGUGCUAUGUUCCUUGCUUUUCAAGGAAAAGCCUAAAGGUAAUACUGGAUGGCCCGUCUUUUGAACCUUUGGUUCAAAGUCUUAGAACGCAACACGGCAGCUCGUGGGGGUAAU